rnacentral:lncRNA from 1 species
GGCAGAAUCCUAAACCCUCCUUCCCCUAUUUGCGAACCCUUCAUAUUCCUCGUCUUCUUCAUUCUUAUUUUUGUUUUUCUUUUUAAUCUCAGCCCUAACACUACCGAUGAAUCAAGAAUGGGUUCAAAUUAAACCCGAAGGGUCUUGGUGACUGAUGGCAGUCUUUUGAUUAAAACGAGGGUUUCGCGGUCAAGAUGAAAUAUGAUUUUUGGGUUUGUUGAAUCUCAUUGAGCUAUCCCGGGUAAUAAUUGUUGAAUUUUGAGAAUUAUUUAUUUAAUUAGUUAUUGUCAUUGAUUUAUUCAUUGUUAGGAUAUUUAAUUUUUUUUCUGUUAAAAAUUGGAACACUUGUUUUUUUGUUGAAUUCGGCCUUAUUGACAUAACUGAAUAAGCAUUUUGUUUGAAUGAUUUAAAGGAUUGUUACAGUGAUGGAGUUUUAUAGAGAGUUGGGACUGUGAUUUGCAAAAUGCAUGUCAAUAUGUAGAUUAUAUUAAGUUUACUCUUUUGAAGGUUUACUCCAAUAAUGAAGACAUAUCACUUGGCUCUGUUAGGAUGAUGGUAGAGUGGCAUCUUUAAUCCUACAACAAGUAUGUACGAAUUGUCCUUAUUUUCCUGUUAGCAUUCUUGUAUUCUUUGGCUUGUAUCAUAUUUCAAUAGUCACUUAUAUAUAUUAGUUUUUUCGAAACAAAAUUGCAAGAGCAGAGCUCUACCAAAUGAGUUAUAUCCCCGCAACCAAGAUCUAACUAUCUCUUCUCCAGCAGUCCCCAAAGUUUAUGUUCUAGUUCUUGUAGUUUAUGUAAUUAUACACCAUGCAGUUGGAAUAGCAUGUGCGAGCUAUUUUUCAGUUGGAGCGGGAUUUGCAGCCACUUGUUUCUCGGUAGAAUCUUAGACAAUAAGACAUUUUUAAUGUUUCAAAUGUUGUGGAAGAUUUUGUGAAAGACAUACUUUAUAGGCCAUGCUAGAAGGGCUUUGAGGUAAGAGUUACUUUCAUUUGAUGAAAUUCUGCAUAUGAGCUUUCAGCAUAUUACCGAUUAUAUGUCAUUAAUUCCCAUUGGUAUCUUUUUUUUCAAACAUUCGGUUCACAUUAGUGUAUAUUUCGAAGAUAGAUCUUUAACAUUAAGUGUUAUAUAUGUGUGAAUUUGUAAAAAAUCAUAACAAAGAAUUACUGUAUACAUCAACACAUAGAUGGCGUUAAAUUUCCAUGUCUUCAAGAUGAAAGUGUUGUUCAUCGUAUAUACGUAGACCAGCAAUGAUGACAAGUCAUUUUGUCAAUGACUUAUUUUCUUAUUCAAAUAUCUCUAUGAUGGUUACAAUUCAAAAUUGUUUCUCUUAUGUUAUAUUCUCACCGAGUUGGCUAGUGUUUGGGCAUAAUUUGAUCUUCUCUUUCUAUUAAGUUAUCGAAGUAUCACUUUGUAGCUUAAGUGAUUGUUAUUUUUCUUUACUUCAUUUGGCUUAUAAGGCUUAGCAAAGGUAAAGGAUUAAUUUUGUUCAGUUUUCAUUCCAUAUAGUGUUAGUAUGUUUCAUAUAUAAUUAUAUAAUUAUGAUCAUAAGUGUUUUUUUAUUUUUGCAUAUUUAGAUGAUAAGUGCUUAAAACCAAAGAGAACAGAGAAAACAGAGGCAACAUUUUACAUGAAUAGAAGUUCGGCGCAAGGGUAUGUAAUUGUUUUUUUUUUUUUUGUAAGCUUAGAUCCACUAAAAUACGUUUGUUUACUCUAUUACUUUGGUAAUUUCAAUAAUUUACAUAUAGUAAUUAUAAAUUAAAUUGCAGCAGUCGAAAUGACUAAAAACAUGCAGUAAAGAGCCUACCGAUAGACGUAUUUCCAGAAAUGUGCAGAAACUCUUGCUACCCUUAUCCGAAGGUCUGUCCACUAAGCACAAUUAUAUUUUUUGCUAGUAAAUAAUAAUUUAUCUUGGUUUGUAUUGAUUACUUGUAUUCAGUUGCAGACUGUUGUUGAGAGUUUCUUCAUGUUCAUAUUUAUGAAUACCAGGCCAACAAAGGAAUGACAUUUUCACGGGUGAAAGGAUACCAUUGAAUACAAUAUGUCAGCAAGAAGACCAGAACAUAUUCAUUCAUUCCAUUUUGAGCUACCCGGGGUCAAAACUUCUGGCUAUACUCUCCCGGAUUUGAGUAUAGUACAAUACAUUUGUUCUCCUUUUUUGUUUAUAUAUACAGACCCCAUGUAUAAUUGGUAUCUUUGAAUUUUGGUGGUGAACAAUAUAAUAGUCCUAUCAAUUGUUUAUUGUGUUGUGAUUUUGUAUAACAGAUAAUGGUUUUCGGUUGAAUUUGUUUAUAUAUGAUCG